UUCCGUAGGUGAACCUGCGGAAGGAUCAUUACCGAGUGCGGGCCCUCUGGGUCCAACCUCCCAUCCGUGUCUAUCUGUACCCUGUUGCUUCGGCGUGGCCACGGCCCGCCGGAGACUAACAUUUGAACGCUGUCUGAAGUUUGCAGUCUGAGUUUUUAGUUAAACAAUCGUUAAAACUUUCAACAACGGAUCUCUUGGUUCCGGCAUCGAUGAAGAACGCAGCGAAAUGCGAUAAUUAAUGUGAAUUGCAGAAUUCAGUGAAUCAUCGAGUCUUUGAACGCACAUUGCGCCCCCUGGUAUUCCGGGGGGCAUGCCUGUCCGAGCGUCAUUGCUGCCCUCAAGCACGGCUUGUGUGUUGGGCUUCCGUCCCUGGCAACGGGGACGGGCCCAAAAGGCAGUGGCGGCACCAUGUCUGGUCCUCGAGCGUAUGGGGCUUUGUCACCCGCUCCCGUAGGUCCAGCUGGCAGCUAGCCUCGCAACCAAUCUUUUUAACCAGGUUGACCUCGGAUCAGGUAGGGAUACCCGCUGAACUUAAGCAUAUCAAUAAGCGGAGGAA
rnacentral:rRNA from 2 species